rnacentral:rRNA from 1 species
UACGGAGGGUGCAAGCGUUGUCCGGAAUCACUGGGCGUAAAGGGCGCGUAGGCGGCUCGGUAAGUAGGGGGUGAAAUCCUGCGGCUCAACCGCAGGGCUGCCUUCUAAACUGUCGAGCUCGAGCACGGUAGAGGCAGAUGGAAUUCCCGGUGUAGCGGUGGAAUGCGUAGAGAUCGGGAAGAACACCGGUGGCGAAGGCGGCCUGCUGGGCAGUGGCUGACACUGAGGCGCGACAGCGUGGGGAGCAAACAGG